UUAAGUUCAGCGGGUAGUCCUACCUGAUUUGAGGUCAAGCUUAAAGUUGUUAUGCCUCUUAGGAGACAGUCCGAAGACAGUUAGAAGCCGAACACAAGUCCACAGCAACGGCAUAGAUAGGAUUAUCAAACCAAAGCUGGUCCUUAACAGUUCCGCUAAUGCAUUUAAGAAGAGCUGAUAGUGAUACCAGCAAGCUUCCA
rnacentral:misc_RNA from 1 species